rnacentral:rRNA from 1 species
GGCGAACGGGUGAGUAACACGUGAGUAACCUGCCCCUGACUCUGGGAUAAGCGUUGGAAACGACGUCUAAUACUGGAUAUGACUGCCGGCCGCAUGGUCUGGUGGUGGAAAGAUUUUUUGGUUGGGGAUGGACUCGCGGCCUAUCAGCUUGUUGGUGAGGUAAUGGCUCACCAAGGCGACGACGGGUAGCCGGCCUGAGAGGGUGACCGGCCACACUGGGACUGAGACACGGCCCAGACUCCUACGGGAGGCAGCAGUGGGGAAUAUUGCACAAUGGGCGAAAGCCUGAUGCAGCAACGCCGCGUGAGGGAUGACGGCCUUCGGGUUGUAAACCUCUUUUAGUAGGGAAGAAGCGAAAGUGACGGUACCUGCAGAAAAAGCACCGGCUAACUACGUGCCAGCAGCCGCGGUAAUACGUAGGGUGCAAGCGUUGUCCGGAAUUAUUGGGCGUAAAGAGCUCGUAGGCGGUUUGUCGCGUCUGCUGUGAAAUCCCGAGGCUCAACCUCGGGCUUGCAGUGGGUACGGGCAGACUAGAGUGCGGUAGGGGAGAUUGGAAUUCCUGGUGUAGCGGUGGAAUGCGCAGAUAUCAGGAGGAACACCGAUGGCGAAGGCAGAUCUC